rnacentral:rRNA from 1 species
GACGAACGCUGGCGGCGUGCCUAAUACAUGCAAGUAGAACGCUGAAGGAGGAGCUUGCUUCUCUGGAUGAGUUGCGAACGGGUGAGUAACGCGUAGGUAACCUGCCUGGUAGCGGGGGAUAACUAUUGGAAACGAUAGCUAAUACCGCAUAAUAGCAGUUGUUGCAUGACAACUGUUUGAAAGGUGCAAUUGCACCACUACCAGAUGGCCCUGCGUUGUAUUAGCUAGUUGGUGGGGUAACGGCUCACCAAGGCGACGAUACAUAGCCGACCUGAGAGGGUGAUCGGCCACACUGGGACUGAGACACGGCCCAGACUCCUACGGGAGGCAGCAGAAGGGAAUCUUAGGCAAUGGACGGAAGUCUGACCGAGCAACGCCGCGAGAGUGAAGAAGGUUAUCGGAUCGUAAAGCUCGGUUGUAAGAGAAGAACGAGUGUGAGAGUGGAAAGUUCACACUGUGACGGUAGCUUAACAGAAAGGGACGGCUAACUACGUG